rnacentral:misc_RNA from 1 species
AAUAUAUAAAUCUAAUGGUUAUAAAACUUGUUCUUAUAUGAGAUCAAGCUUAUAAGAUGCACUCAUAAUGCUUUCAAAGAUGUUGUGCGUGUGCAUUUGUUUGUUUUAAGGCAAAUCAACGAAAGAAAUAGCCAAAAAUAGCCAAUUGAGCACAACGCUAAGAUGUGAAAAUGUUUGUAGGCUUCUCACAAUUGGAAAGAUAAAUUCUAAUAUAUCUCAUCUAAAUUGAAAGAAACUAUUGGUCUUUCAUUUUCAAAUAUUGCACAAUAUGUUUUGAAGUCUAAACUUAACAUAUCUCUUUUCAGUGUUUUGUAGAAAAAUCACAUGGAUAUAUUUUCUGGGUACCCUAG